AUGGCCCCUAGAGUUCCCUCAAACACUUCAUUGGAGAUUAUAUGCCUCUCUCUACUUUCUACUGAAGUGUUUGGGGGGACCCUUGGAGUCAU
rfam:Prunus persica cultivar Lovell chromosome G1, whole genome shotgun sequence.